rnacentral:rRNA from 1 species
GAUGGGGGGACGCAGUAGGAUAGGCGAAGCGUGCUGUUGGAGUGCACGUCCAAGCAGUAAGGCUGAGUGUUAGGCAAAUCCGGCACUCAUAAGGCUGAGCUGUGAUGGGGAGAGGAAAUUGUUUCCUCGAGUCGUUGAUUUCACACUGCCGAGAAAAGCCUCUAGAUAGAUAACAGGUGCCCGUACCGCAAACCGACACAGGUAGUCAAGAUGAGAAUUCUAAGGUGAGCGAGCGAACUCUCGUUAAGGAACUCGGCAAAAUGACCCCGUAACUUCGGGAGAAGGGGUGCUCUUUAGGGUUCACGCCCAGAAGAGCCGCAGUGAAUAGGCCCAAGCGACUGUUUAUCAAAAACACAGGUCUCUGCUAAACCGUAAGGUGAUGUAUAGGGGCUGACGCCUGCCCGGUGCUGGAAGGUUAAGAGGAGUGGUUAGCUUCUGCGAAGCUACGAAUCGAAGCCCCAGUAAACGGCGGCCGUAACUAUAACGGUCCUAAGGUAGCGAAAUUCCUUGUCGGGUAAGUUCCGACCCGCACGAAAGGCGUAACGAUUUGGGCACUGUCUCAACGAGAGACUCGGUGAAAUCAUAGUACCUGUGAAGAUGCAGGUUACCCGCGACAGGACGGAAAGACCCCGUGGAGCUUUACUGUAGCCUGAUAUUGAAAUUCGGCACAGCUUGUACAGGAUAGGUAGGAGCCUUUGAAACGUGAGCGCUAGCUUACGUGGAGGCGUUGGUGGGAUACUACCCUAGCUGUGUUGGCUUUCUAACCCGCACCACUUAUCGUGGUGGGAGACAGUGUCAGGCGGGCAGUUUGACUGGGGCGGUCGCCUCCUAAAAGGUAACGGAGGCGCUCAAAGGUUCCCUCAGAAUGGUUGGAAAUCAUUCAUAGAGUGUAAAGGCAUAAGGGAGCUUGACUGCGAGACCUACAAGUCGAGCAGGGUCGAAAGACGGACUUAGUGAUCCGGUGGUUCCGCAUGGAAGGGCCAUCGCUCAACGGAUAAAAGCUACCCCGGGGAUAACAGGCUUAUCUCCCCCAAGAGUUCACAUCGACGGGGAGGUUUGGCACCUCGAUGUCGGCUCAUCGCAUCCUGGGGCUGUAGUCGGUCCCAAGGGUUGGGCUGUUCGCCCAUUAAAGCGGUACGCGAGCUGGGUUCAGAACGUCGUGAGACAGUUCGGUCCCUAUCCGUCGUGGGCGUAGGAAAUUUGAGAGGAGCUGUCCUUAGUACGAGAGGACCGGGAUGGACAUACCUCUGGUGUACCAGUUGUCGUGCCAACGGCAUAGCUGGGUAGCUAUGUAUGGACGGGAUAAGUGCUGAAAGCAUCUAAGCAUGAAGCCCCCCUCAAGAUGAGAUUUCCCAACUUCGGUUAUAAGAUCCCUCGAAGAUGACGAGGUUAAUAGGUUCGAGGUGGAAGCGUGGUGACACGUGGAGCUGACGAAUACUAAUCGAUCGAAGACUUAAUCAAUUU